rnacentral:rRNA from 1 species
AUUGAACGCUGGCGGCAGGCCUAACACAUGCAAGUCGAGCGUGAAAGUUCUUCGGAAUGAGUAAAGCGGCGGACGGGUGAGUAACGCGUAGGAAUCUGCCCUGAAGUGGGGGAUAACUUGGGGAAACUCAAGCUAAUACCGCAUAGACCUGAGGGUGAAAGAUGGGGAUCUUCGGACCUAUCGCUUCAGGAGGAGCCUGCGUCGGAUUAGCUGGUUGGUAGGGUAAAGGCCUACCAAGGCGGCGAUCCGUAGCUGGUCUGAGAGGAUGACCAGCCACACUGGGACUGAGACACGGCCAAGACUCCUACGGGAGGCAGCAGUGGGGAAUUUUGGGCAAUGGGCGCAAGCCUGAUCCAGCCAUGCCGCGUGUGUGAAGAAGGCUCUAGGGUUGUAAAGCACUUUAAGUUGUGAGGAAGUGACAGUUGUAAAUAAUGACUGCCAUUGACGUUAGCAACAGAAUAAGCACCGGCUAACUCCGUGCCAGCCGCCGCAGUAA